AAGACGAGGAGAACACGGUGGACGAGGAGGACGAGGAUUUGUGCUCGGUAUAACACGAGGUGGUUAGCGGUCGUCGUUGGAGGUGGUUUGAGGUGGUUACGGGAUGGUUGCGGGUGAUCGAGGAUUCCAAGUAUUUGACAACAGUGAUACCUUAUCACAUGGACAAUGGCCCACCUCAUAAUCAAGCUUUACAAGUCCUCACUAGGAUAUUAAAGGCUAUUAAUCAGGAUAGUCCAACGGUGCCCACAUUAUUAACGGACUACAUAUUGAAAGUUCUGUGCCCCACCUACUGAUCCACUGGUACAUAUCCUCCGACGUGACAUCGCUCUACUACGUAUAUAGAAGAAAGGAUUUAUUAAGAUGCAAAUUGCUCCUCUCUUCUUGCCAUUGUGCUUUCAGCCAUUGUUGUGCUGUGUGUUUAAAAUUUAGGACAGUAUAUAAUAUAGAAUAACAGGUACAGUUACGAAUAUAGCACUACAAUAAAUCUUA